GGAUGUGAAGGUGAUCUGGCUGUGGCAUUUGUCACCCCAUUGAUCGAUCACCCCAAGGUUGAUUGGCUGAUCUGGCUGGCUAGGUGGGAGUCCCAUUCCUCCCUCACCACUCCAUGUGCAUCCCUCCCAAAGCUGUGCGCUCUGUCAAAGAGGACUGCCUUCCCCGAAAGGACCAGUCUUCGGUCAAGGGUAUACCAGUAGCUGUGCUCCCCUGCUAUACCCUCCAACCGAGCUCUCAAGGUCCACUGUAGGAGGACGUAGGGUAGUCAAGCUUCCAGACUCCAGACACAUCCACAUGAGGCGCUGCAUGUGGCAAUCUGCCUUUCUUU
rnacentral:snRNA from 1 species